rnacentral:rRNA from 1 species
AGUGAACGAGGGAGGGAGGAAGAACACAUGCAAGUCGAACGGCAGCACAGUAAGAGCUUGCUCUUACGGGUGGCGAGUGGCGGACGGGUGAGGAAUACAUCGGAAUCUACUUUUUCGUGGGGGAUAACGUAGGGAAACUUACGCGAAUACCGCAUACGACCUACGGGUGAAAGCAGGGGAUCUUCGGACCUUGCGCGAUUGAAUGAGCCGAUGUCGGAUUAGCUAGUGGGCGGGGUAAAGGCCCACCAAGGCGACGAUCCGUAGCUGGUCUGAGAGGAUGAUCAGCCACACUGGAACUGAGACACGGUCCAGACUACUACGGGAGGCAGCAGUGGGGAAUAUUGGACAAUGGGCGCAAGCCUGAUCCAGCCAUACCGCGUGGGUGAAGAAGGCCUUCUGGUUGUAAAGCCCUUUUGUUGGGAAAGAAAAGCAGCAGGUUAAUACCCCGCUGUUCUGACGGUACCCAAAGAAUAAGCACCGGCUAACUUCGUG